UUAUAGUCAUUUGACUUCGCGCUCAGACGGUAUAAUCUUCCUUUCAGGUAAAAAAAAAUGGGUUUCCAUGGGUGCCGUCGGCAGGCUGACCGCCCCCCCCGCCCGCGCCCCGACGCAAGGCCGUGGGGGGGGGGGAGGGACGAGCUGCCGAAGCAACUGAGGCUUUUCACAUUGGGUUACGGGCUGCAGGCCCCCAUGGACGGGGACCCUCGCCGUUCGGCCGGUGAAGGCCGGUUUCUUUUUUAAUGAUCCUUCCGCAGGUUCACCUACGGAAA
rnacentral:misc_RNA from 1 species